rnacentral:rRNA from 1 species
UUAAAUUGAGAGUUUGAUCCUGGCUCAGGACGAACGCUGGCGGCGUGCCUAAUACAUGCAAGUCGAGCGAGCUGAAUUCAAAGAUUCCUUCGGGAUGAUUUGUUGGACGCUAGCGGCGGAUGGGUGAGUAACACGUGGGCAAUCUGCCCUAAAGACUGGGAUACCACUUGGAAACAGGUGCUAAUACCGGAUAACAACAUGAAUCGCAUGAUUCAAGUUUGAAAGGCGGCGUAAGCUGUCACUUUAGGAUGAGCCCGCGGCGCAUUAGCUAGUUGGUGGGGUAAAGGCCUACCAAGGCAAUGAUGCGUAGCCGAGUUGAGAGACUGAUCGGCCACAUUGGGACUGAGACACGGCCCAAACUCCUACGGGAGGCAGCAGUAGGGAAUCUUCCACAAUGGACGCAAGUCUGAUGGAGCAACGCCGCGUGAGUGAAGAAGGUUUUCGGAUCGUAAAGCUCUGUUGUUGGUGAAGAAGGAUAGAGGCAGUAACUGGUCUUUAUUUGACGGUAAUCAACCAGAAAGUCACGGCUAACUACGUGCCAGCAGCCGCGGUAAUACGUAGGUGGCAAGCGUUGUCCGGAUUUAUUGGGCGUAAAGCGAGCGCAGGCGGAAUGAUAAGUCUGAUGUGAAAGCCCACGGCUCAACCGUGGAACUGCAUCGGAAACUGUCAUUCUUGAGUGCAGAAGAGGAGAGUGGAAUUCCAUGUGUAGCGGUGGAAUGCGUAGAUAUAUGGAAGAACACCAGUGGCGAAGGCGGCUCUCUGGUCUGCAACUGACGCUGAGGCUCGAAAGCAUGGGUAGCGAACAGGAUUAGAUACCCUGGUAGUCCAUGCCGUAAACGAUGAGCGCUAGGUGUUGGGGACUUUCCGGUCCUCAGUGCCGCAGCAAACGCAUUAAGCGCUCCGCCUGGGGAGUACGACCGCAAGGUUGAAACUCAAAGGAAUUGACGGGGGCCCGCACAAGCGGUGGAGCAUGUGGUUUAAUUCGAAGCAACGCGAAGAACCUUACCAGGUCUUGACAUCCUGCGCUACACCUAGAGA